rnacentral:rRNA from 1 species
ACGUAGGUGGCAAGCGUUGUCCGGAUUUAUUGGGCGUAAAGCGCGCGCAGGUGGUUCGUUGCGUCCGAGGUGAAAUCUCCCGGCUUAACUGGGAGGGGUCUUCGGAUACGGGCGGACUAGAGGAGAGCAGAGGUAGGCGGAAUUCUGGGUGUAGUGGUGAAAUGCGUAGAUAUCCAGAGGAACACCAGUGGCGAAGGCGGCCUACUGGGCUCCACCUGACACUGAGGCGCGAAAGCGUGGGGAGCGAACCGGAUUAGAUACCCGGGUAGUCCACGCCGUAAACGAUGGGCACUAGGUGUGAGGGGUAUUGACCCCCCUCGUGCCGUAGCUAACGCGUUAAGUGCCCCGCCUGGGGAGUACGGCCGCAAGGCUA